CCCUCCUCCUCCUCAGGACCCCCCAGCACAGCACAAACUUCUCUGAAGCUUGCUCCAUCAGGCGCAUCCCCACAAGCCCCUUCUAGGGGAAGCCUGACACGAGGCAGUCGCAGCUCAGCCCUGGGAACCAGCACAAAGCCCCAGCACCAUUUCCACCCUUGGGGUAGGGGCUAUGUGCUACAGGUUUAAUAAAUGGCUUCACCCUCACGA